CUCGUAUUUAGGUGUAAUAAACAGACAAAAUCUCCACUUGCACUACAGGGAUUUGGUCCUAUGAUUUGCAAUUUCCUUAUCGGUUACCCACAAGCCCUGGCUAUUUAUCCUUUUUGACAAUACAAAAGCUGACAGCCAAAGGGUUUGCUUUGACAUUAACUCCCUACAGAGACACAGAAAGCAGUAUUUAACAAGAUAACACUUUGUUCAAAUGCGUAACGAGGUCAUGAGAUGCCAUAGGACUUUGCUUUCCCCACCUAACCUGUUCCAUGUUGUCGACACAUUGCAGGUCGCUGGCUGAGGGUUUUUUUAAAUAAUUAAAUUAUAAGAAUACAUG